rnacentral:rRNA from 1 species
GAUGAACGCUGGCGGCGUGCCUAAUACAUGCAAGUCGAGCGAACAGACGAGGAGCUUGCUCCUCUGGCGUUAGCGGCGGACGGGUGAGUAACACGUGGAUAACCUACCUAUAAGACUGGGAUAACUUCGGGAAACCGGAGCUAAUACCGGAUAAUAUAUUGAACCGCAUGGUUCAAUAGUGAAAGACGGUUUUGCUGUCACUUAUAGAUGGAUCCGCGCCGCAUUAGCUAGUUGGUAAGGUAACGGCUUACCAAGGCAACGAUGCGUAGCCGACCUGAGAGGGUGAUCGGCCACACUGGAACUGAGACACGGUCCAGACUCCUACGGGAGGCAGCAGUAGGGAAUCUUCCGCAAUGGGCGAAAGCUUGACGGAGCAACGCCGCGUGAGUGAUGAAGGUCUUCGGAUCGUAAAACUCUGUUAUUAGGGAAGAACAAAUGUGUAAGUAACUAUGCACGUCUUGACGGUACCUAAUCAGAAAGCCACGGCUAACUACGU